GAAAUGCGAUAAUUAAUGUGAAUUGCAUAAUUCAGUGAAUCAUCGAGUCUUUGAACGCACAUUGCGCCCCCUGGUAUUCCGGGGGGCAUGCCUGUCCGAGCGUCAUUGCUGCCCUCAAGCACGGCUUGUGUGUUGGGCUUCCGUCCCUGGCAACGCGGACGGGCCCAAAAGGCAGUGGCGGCACCAUGUCUGGUCCUCGAGCGUAUGGGGCUUUGUCACCCGCUCCCGUAGGUCCAGCUGGCAGCUAGCCUCGCAACCAAUCUUUUUAACCAGGUUGACCUCGGAUCAGGUAGGGAUACCCGCUGAACUUAAGC
rnacentral:misc_RNA from 1 species